rnacentral:ribozyme from 1 species
AAGAGAAAAUAACCAAAAACCAAAAAACAAAACCAAUACUCAAAAAUGUUUGCCAAAUAGGAUUAUAUGAUAUUGUUUUUUUUUGUUCCAUUUG